rnacentral:RNase_P_RNA from 1 species
GGCGCAGGCCAAGCAGCCGCGGGGCCGCGCGAGCGGCCUCGAGGAAAGUCCGGACAUCACAGGGCAGGGUGGUCGGUAACGCCGACCCGGGGAAACCCGCGGGCCAGUGCCACAGAAAACACACCGCCUACCGGCGGCCGUCAGGCCGCGCGAGGCAAGGUUGAAAAGGUGCGGUAAGAGCGCACCGGCGCCGCGGCGACGCGGCGGCCAGGUAAACCCCACCCGAUGCAAGGCCAAGCAGGACCGCUCGAAGGCUGCCCGCCGAGGUCCAGGUCGGCCGCACAGAUGGAUGGCUGCUCACGACAGAAUCCGGCUUACCGGCCUGCUACGGAA